rnacentral:rRNA from 1 species
ACCAGACUCCUACGGGAGGCAGCAGUGGGGAAUAUUGGACAAUGGGGGGAACCCUGAUCCAGCGACGCCGCGUGAGUGAAGAAGUAUUUCGGUAUGUAAAGCUCUAUCAGCAGGGAAGAAAGAAAUGACGGUACCUGACUAAGAAGCCCCGGCUAACUACGUGCCAGCAGCCGCGGUAAUACGUAGGGGGCAAGCGUUAUCCGGAAUUACUGGGUGUAAAGGGAGCGCAGACGGCAGUGCAAGUCUGGAGUGAAAGCCCGUGGCUUAACCACGGGACUGCUCUGGAAACUGUGCAGCUAGAGUGCAGGAGAGGCAGGCGGAAUUCCUAGUGUAGCGGUGAAAUGCGUAGAUAUUAGGAGGAACACCAGUGGCGAAGGCGGUCUGCUGGACAGCAACUGACGGUGAGGCGCGAAAGCGUGGGGAGCAAACAGGAUUAGAUACCCCAGUAC